GAUUAACGCUAGCGGCAGGCAUAAUACAUGCAAGUUGAACGGCAGCACAGGUAGCAAUACUGGGUGGCGAGUGGCGCACGGGUGCGUAACACGUAUGCAACCUACCCUAUACAGGCGAAUAACCUUUAGAAAUGAGGGCUAAUACGCCGUAGUAUUACAGAUGGGCAUCUAUUUGUAAUUAAAGAUUUAUCGGUAUAGGAUGGGCAUGCGUCCCAUUAGUUAGUUGGUAAGGUAACGGCUUACCAAGACGAUGAUGGGUAGGGGAGCUGAGAGGACGUACCCCCACACUGGUACUGAGACACGGACCAGACUGCUACGGAAGGCAGCAGUAAGGAAUAUUGGGCGAUGGCCGCGAGCCUGACCCAGCCAUGCCGCGUGCAGGAAGACGGCCUUAUGGGUUGUAAACUGCUUUUAUACGGGAAUAAUAGAGUGUACGCGUACAUUUAUGCAAGUAUCGUAUGAAUAAGCAUCGGCUAACUACGUG
rnacentral:rRNA from 1 species